CUUAACACAUGCAAGUCGAACGAUGAUCCCAGCUUGCUGGGGGAUUAGUGGCGAACGGGUGAGUAACACGUGAGUAACCUGCCCUUGACUCUGGGAUAAGCCUGGGAAACUGGGUCUAAUACCGGAUAUGACCGCUCUGACGCAUGUCAGGUGGUGGAAAGCUUUUGUGGUUUUGGAUGGACUCGCGGCCUAUCAGCUUGUUGGUGGGGUAAUGGCCUACCAAGGCGACGACGGGUAGCCGGCCUGAGAGGGUGACCGGCCACACUGGGACUGAGACACGGCCCAGACUCCUACGGGAGGCAGCAGUGGGGAAUAUUGCACAAUGGGCGCAAGCCUGAUGCAGCGACGCCGCGUGAGGGAUGACGGCCUUCGGGUUGUAAACCUCUUUCAGUAGGGAAGAAGCGAAAGUGACGGUACCUGCAGAAGAAGCGCCGGCUAACUACGUGCCAGCAGCCGCGGUAAUACGUAGGGCGCAAGCGUUAUCCGGAAUUAUUGGGCGUAAAGAGCUCGUAGGCGGUUUGUCGCGUCUGCUGUGAAAGACCGGGGCUCAACUCCGGUUCUGCAGUGGGUACGGGCAGACUAGAGUGAUGUAGGGGAGACUGGAAUUCCUGGUGUAGCGGUGAAAUGCGCAGAUAUCAGGAGGAACACCGAUGGCGAAGGCAGGUCUCUGGGCAUUAACUGACGCUGAGGAGCGAAAGCAUGGGGAGCGAACAGGAUUAGAUACCCUGGUAGUCCAUGCCGUAAACGUUGGGCACUAGGUGUGGGGGACAUUCCACGUUUUCCGCGCCGUAGCUAACGCAUUAAGUGCCCCGCCUGGGGAGUACGGCCGCAAGGCUAAAACUCAAAGGAAUUGACGGGGGCCCGCACAAGCGGCGGAGCAUGCGGAUUAAUUCGAUGCAACGCGAAGAACCUUACCAAGGCUUGACAUGAACCGGAAAGACCUGGAAACAGGUGCCCCGCUUGCGGUCGGUUUACAGGUG
rnacentral:rRNA from 1 species